CAGAUGGUACAGAUGUUCUCUGGUUCAUCACAGAUAUAUUUGGACAAUGUUUAAAGAAUACUAUCAUUGCUGACCAACAUAAUUUAGCCAUAUCUGACUUUAGUUUAUUUUAUUAAAUUUGAUAUACAUGUAUGUAUCAACAUGUCCUCUCAUUCUAGAAAUAAAGUUUUGAAAUAAGCUUAAUUUCAUGAGUACUAGAACACACCCG
rnacentral:lncRNA from 1 species